ACCUGUAAAAUAUGACAAGAGAUUGGCACUAACUGUGGACAAUAGCGAAGAAGCAAGAAGUUUAUCUUGUUGAUGGUAAGUGACAAAUUCGGGAUUAGAAACUAACGGCCCUUCACGAUCGGACACAAGUUGAGACAAGAUCGGAAAAGUACCAUCAAGGUAACUAGUAAUAUCGUAUCCAUCUACAAUAAGUUUGAUUUGAUGUUUCCAUUGAACAUAUGUGUUUUUUGUAAGUUUUACGGUUUCAUGCCUAGGAAAAGACUACACCACACGAAAGGGUCGUUCACCAUGAGGAAACUAGGCGAGAGGAAAGAUGAACAGGAGUGAAACUUCUUGGGAAUUCAUCAGGUGAAAGAGUAGCCAUCAAGCGCUGAACUUAACUCAAAAGCUAGUGACUGAUACCAUGAAAGAAUUACAUACAAGAUAGACAUGUUCCAGUGGCUUACUUGGGUUUUCAACAACUGUUCAGUACUUCAACGCAUAUCAUUCUGUUGUGGUUUGUGGAUCUUGUGGAUUGCAAGAAAUAAAUUUAUGCAUGAACAUUCAGCUAAAUCGGUGGUUGACAUAUCAAGGUUCAUUCAAGGAUACAUUAAAGAAAUAGGUGUCAAGGAAAAUGGGGUUACCAGGAAGGUGAUCUAUGCAAAAUGGAAGCCCCUUCGAGAACAUGCAUCACACUUAAUUUUGACGCAGCUUUUGAUAAGGAUUUUUUCAAAUCUGGGACGGGGAUUGUAGCCAGAAAUGCGCAAGGGCAGGUGUUUGCAUCACGUUCAAUACUCCACUCAAACGUGGGCUCGACAUUUACAGCAGAAGCCCUCAUAUGUUCAUGGGCAGUUAAAAUGGGGUUAGUGUUGGGGGUUACAGAGGCAAUUAUCGAAGGUGAUUCUCUAACUAUUAUCAAGAACUGCAGUAAUUUGUCCUAAGAUAAGUCUAAUACGGGCUGACAUCCAGGAUAUACAGUAUCAUAUAGCAGAUUUCUUUCCAUACAGUUUAAACAUGCAAAUUGUGAAGCUAUCCAACUCACACACAGAUUAGCAGUCGAAAGUCUGAGAAAUAGAGAGGAGUUUUACCUGGAAAGAGCGGUCCUGGGCUCCGCAAGGAGAAUGAUGGAGGACGAGUGGAUUCAUGAACCAAAUUGAAGGAACAAUGGGGAAGUGCCUCGAUCCCUUAGGAGUAGAAAGGAGAAAAAUUGUUUCUGUGAAAAUGCAAAUAUGGAAGGGAUGGGGAAGAGGAAAGUGAUUAGUGGGAAAUGAAACCAUCGGUGUUUUGCAAUGAUGACAAUAGAUGGGACAGGUAGGAUUGCCGAGGAAUAGGCUGGCUUUUGUUUGUUUUUAAAGUCUAUUUUAUUUUCUUUUAAUGGUUUAAUUGUUUUGCUCUGGGGCGAUGAAUGUUAAGGGCUCCUAGUGGAUUUUGAUGUA